rnacentral:lncRNA from 1 species
UGACAGGUGGGGACGGUCGACUGAGCUUACAUGUGGGCCGACGCAACGAAUGACAGGUGGGGGCGGUCAAUUUAGCUUACAUGUGGGCGGACGUCCUCUCAAAAAAAAACACACUACUACAGUAAAGUACACUAGUGGAGGUCAAAAAAUGUGGUCAGUGGCGGUGAACCUGCCCGCCACUAACCGUGCGUCACUGGUGCUCUGCCCACCACUGGCGGUUCUUUUGACCGCCACCGGUGCUGUGCCCACCAGUGGCCGGCAGGUAUCCCCGCCACUGGUAACAAUUUUGUGAUUUAAAAAAAAAGCAGGCCCGUGGCCUGCAAUCCACAGCAAAUCCGAUAUAAAUCACAGAAAAUCCGAUAUAAAUUACAGAUCUGAAAUUCAACCGAGAAACCGAAACCAGUACAUAGAACACACAGAUCGAUCAUCCAUAGAAACUUUAACAGAGAAACCAAACAGAUUACAGAGCAUACACAUCACUACUUUAACCUUGAAAUGAAAUCAACUCCAUUACAUAGCAUAUAUACACAUCACAGGCAAGGGCUCGGACGAGGUGCAUGCCGCAUACGGGGCCGCCGCUGGACGCCGGCACAAGGCUGCUACCAUCUUGCUCCCGGAGAGCAGGUCGUCCACCACCAUAUGAGAAAGAGAGAGAAAGAGUGUGAGAGAGAGACAGAGAAUGAAAGAGAAAACUGAGAGAGAUGAAGAGAAAAAGACGUACC